GUGGGGUUAGGGAUGCAAAUGGGAUCUCUGCAAACGGUUUACUUCUAAUGUAAUUUUCAUAACUACUAUUCAAAAUUCACUUGUAAUCUAAUUUUCAAAUUUUAGUAUAAAAAAUUCAAUAGGAAAAUUGAAAAUUAAAUUAGAAAUGAACUGUUUGUGGAAUCUCGUUUGUGUCGACACACAUGGUACCUUGGGCUGGCUGAUUUUUCUGUAUCUACGCUAGUUGGAAAAAAGAAAACACAUUACAUAAAUUAAAAAACCUCAUUAAAAAUACUCUAAGAAUAACUGUAUUUUUCAUCCCUCGUCAAAAUACAGGUUACGUGGAGCACAGGAGAGUGAGAGACAGAGAAAAAUAAAAGUAUACAUCUCCAUGGGUCUAAGAAGUUGCCUGGUCACGAACUGACGUGGCAACAAAACAACCAUCCAUUCCAGCUGGUCAAAACCUUAUUUGACACCGGCCGACAUCAAGAUCAAAAAAUUUAUCUACUGUUGAAACCAAGCUUGCGUCGACCUACAUUUGACAAUUAUUGAGGGGCGUCACAAAGAGCAACACACUUACCUCUCAAAUUAAAAGCCAAAAGCAUAUGUAUGCACACACGAAGGAUCGAGACGCUGAAGGCAAUGCAACACGUUACACGUAUGCAUAUAACUUUUGG
rnacentral:lncRNA from 1 species